rnacentral:rRNA from 1 species
CAGCAGCCGCGGUAAUACGAAGGGGGCUAGCGUUGUUCGGAAUUACUGGGCGUAAAGCGCACGUAGGCGGACAUUUAAGUCAGGGGUGAAAUCCCGGGGCUCAACCCCGGAACUGCCUUUGAUACUGGGUGUCUAGAGUAUGGAAGAGGUGAGUGGAAUUCCGAGUGUAGAGGUGAAAUUCGUAGAUAUUCGGAGGAACACCAGUGGCGAAGGCGGCUCACUGGUCCAUUACUGACGCUGAGGUGCGAAAGCGUGGGGAGCAAACAGGAUUAGAUACCCCCGUAGUCCCUGUCUCUUAUAU